UACGUAGGGUGCGAGCGUUGUCCGGAUUUAUUGGGCGUAAAGGGCUCGUAGGCGGUCUAUUGCGUCGGGAGUGAAAACCUGCGGCUUAACUGUGGGCUUGCUUUCGAUACGGGUGGACUUGAGGAGGGUAGGGGAGAACGGAAUUCCUGGUGGAGCGGUGGAAUGCGCAGAUAUCAGGAGGAACACCGGUGGCGAAGGCGGUUCUCUGGACCUUUCCUGACGCUGAGGAGCGAAAGCGUGGGGAGCAAACAGGCUUAGAUACCCUGGUAGUCCACGCUGUAAACGGUGGGUACUAGGUGUGGGAUCCUUUCCGUGGGUUCUGUGCCGUAGCUAACGCAUUAAGUACCCCGCCUGGGGAGUACGGCCGCAAGGCUAAAACUCAAAGGAAUUGACGGGGGCCCGCACAAGCGGCGGAGCAUGCGGAUUAAUUCGAUGCAACGCGAAGAACCUUACCUGGGUUUGACAUAUGCCGGAAGCAUUCAGAGAUGGGUGUGCCUUUUUGGUCGGUUUACAGGUGGUGCAUGGCU
rnacentral:rRNA from 1 species